AGAGGAAACACCCACAUUUCUCAGAAUUUUGUCACAAGGAGCAACAAUACGGGCCCAGGACUUCAUACUCCUCCCCCCUCUCCUUACCAGGGUUUCUCUCACCUCCUGCGCCACAGUUUUAGUCAUGGUUUUGGCCUUUUUGGUUUCACCACCAAAACAACUAAACUUACGUAUUUGGUUCUGCAGGAAAUGAACAGAUACCGCAAUUAUAAUCAAAUUAAAUUCCAAUACACCAUUUCUAAUGUAAACACUUAAUAUGUUUUCCCUUAUGUAAAUAUAUCUCUUUCUAAUUAAUCUUGAUUGGUCUGUUGUUUGAAACUGACAUUGAUCUGCUGUACCAUGUCUGAAGUUGAGCAAUUUUUUACUUGACACGGUAUCUUUAAAACAUCCCACUCGAAAACGAGACAUUGAGAAAACAGUGAUACGAUCUAUAAUGACCAAAUACACAGACAGACUGAAUGACCUUUGAUCAGUUUGUGCACAAACACACACACACACCUGCAGAAAAUUAAGCAGAGACUCACAUAGUUGUGUGUGUGUGUGUGUGUGAGGGAAAAGCGCAGUGAUGUUUUCAGUGGUGUGUGUGUGUGUGUGUGUGUGUGUGUGUGUGUGUGUGUGUGUGUGUGUUUAAUGUCUCUGGAAUUCUGGAAUUUCCCUUAUUCUGGGAACCCAAAACCAACUCUGAAAGACUGACAUAAAGACAACUAAAUGAAACACACAUACUGCACAUUGGUCUUAUCCUGCCACCUACUGGACACUGACUACAACACAAGAGUCAAUUUAAAUGCACUGUCUUCAUUCUGGUUUCGUCACGCUGCCUCGUUCAUCUCGUCUCGACCAAAGCUUUGCAGAAACGUCUGAAAUGCUCAGCUCAGAUAGUCGACGGAGCUCCUUACCUGAGAACAGCGAGGUCUCAAUGACGCGAUCUGAUUCGCUCUCGUCCUUCACGGUGGACCUCGGCCCCUCCCUCAUGAGUGAGGUGUUGGAGUUGAUUGACAGCUCCUGCUGCCUCAUUAGGAGCCAUCAGGAUCAGGAGGAGGAGGAGGAGGAGGAGGAAGGGCAGCAGAGCUCCGUGUUUGAGAUGGAUCAUGAAUGUCAGACAGCUCCGAUCGGAGCAGACGUCACCAUCGAGCCCAGGAGGUUCCAGCAGGCUGCUAGCGUGCUAGCACGUCACUUUGGAGGAGGAAGACCUGAAGAAGAGAGUCAGAGACCGUCAUCUUUCAGACACACAAGGACGCCAUACAGCUUCACUGAGACAGAGGAUGAAAUCAAAGUAUGA
rnacentral:lncRNA from 12 species